GAUUUUUUUUCACUUGUUUAGUCAACAGAACUAAAUUGCGUAGCCUGAGAGCAUUUUGAUUAUUUUUGAAAUUCACAGUUUAAUUUUACUAAUUUUAUAUAUUAAAGUGCGGAUAAGAUAUUAUUUUCAUGUAACAUCGUUAGAUGUCCGACAACUAUAAAUUUAGAAAGUUUGUUAUAAAUAGAUUGCCAAUUAUAUGUCCCCAACAAUGAAAUCCAUAUCAAAACAAGUCAAUUCUUUUCUGAUUACUCAUAUUCUGAAGUACCCCAAAACUACAACUGAAAAUCAAAAUCAUUAAAAUUUCCUUCCUCCAAACACAUCUUUUUCAGCUUCAAUGGAUUAUUCUUCCAACUACACACCGUACUCUCCCUCCCAUUGGGAUUACGUCAAUCUAUUCCUUUUCCGUCCAAUUCUCGCCAUCGUAUUCGUACUCUCUCUACUUCUCCUUGGUCUCUCUCCUUUUCUCUCUCUAUACGUACUUAUAUAUAUAUAUAUAUAUAUAUAUAUAUUUAUUUAUACACACAUGAUCUAGGCUCCUAAAAUUAUGCUAAUUAGGGUUUUUUGUUUUUCUAAUGUGAUGCAGGUUGGUUUUUGGCGUGGAAGCUAGUAUUGGUACAUGUACCACUGGUUCAAGAAAUUUUCGGUCUCCGUAAAAAGGCCAUCAAACCUAAACCCCCAACUCGCCGCCGUCUCACCAAAUUCUACAACAGUUUGAAUGCCAAAGACUGGUAAUUUCUGUUUCCUUCAAGUAUCCUUUUUUUUCAAUUGUUUUUGUGCCCAAUAUUUAGAAUUGGAAUAUAGAUAGAUUUUUGAAUUCUGUUGUUAAAAUUUUGAGGUCCCUUUGGGAACCUGAUUUGAUUGUUUGGAAUUGGAAGUCCCAAUUCCAAUACUGUUAAAUUAAGCUUGGAUGAUUGUUUGGUAUUUUAAUUUGUUUGGGUAAAUUUGAUCCCACUAUAAUUAAUUUACUUGAUUUUACUAUUAAGGCAUUAAAAUGUUUGAUAUCUCAUUUUCAGUUGUCUUACUUUAUGCUAAUUAGGCUUAUUUUAAAAUGAUUUAUAAGUUAAAAUUUAAAAUGACUUAUAACUCAUAAUAAGCUGCGACUUAUAACUAAAAAUGUUUGGCACUACUUUGAGUUAUUAAUUAGAAAUUAAGUUAAAACAAUUUGUGAGUGUUUGGGUGAUAAUGACGUAUAAGUCAAAAUAAAUUCUAGAGAUUACUAGAAAGGACGUUAAUAAAAACAACAACAGAUUGAUUCAAUAUUCCAUCAUAAGAAUCACCAUUGCAACAUUAGUAAAACAUUAUUGCGAACCAUUAAAAUACUAAGGUAGGUCCAAGACAUAUAAACAAAUAAAAAUAAAAAAGUCUACACCAAAUUUUAAAAUUUCAGUCAAUUAACAGAUAGAGCUUGAAAACACUUUAAAGAAUCAUUUGGAGCAAGUGCACUGGCAAAGUGUUAUCUUGAUGCAUAAUGUUACCAACUGCACAUAAUUUUGACUCUUCAAGCAAUUGCUAAUAGAGCUUGAGGGAGAGAAGGGGAGGAAUGCGAGGGAGGGAGAGAGGGAAAAUAGUGACGGGGAGAGAUGGAGAGAGGGAGGGAGAUAUAAAGAGAGGUUAUAUAUAAGUCGUGAGAAAGAUGGAGGGUAAAAUAGUCAUUGCAUUUGGUCGAACCAACUUAUCUAGAAUGACUUAUAAGUCAUUUUUGAUAAGUAAGAAAUUGUUAAUUCCCAAAAUAACUUAUAAGCUAGAAAUUAAGUCACAGAAGAACACCCAAAUAGUAAAAAACAACUUAUAAGUUGACCAACUUAUUGUGUGUAGUUUCUGUUUAUGGGUGGAGCGCCAGUUUUUAAGGGUAAGACUCAAGAAAGAAACUUCGACAAUUCUAGCUUGUUGAAGUUCCCUUUAUCUCUCCUGCAACUCGAUGUUAAAAACUUUCAGUCUCAUUUAAUGUUGAUGAUGUUUUAUUAGUUCAUUAGUUGUGGUCCCAGUAAAGGAAUUGCUGAAAAUUUCCUUGAAGAGUUUAUAUAGAUAUACAUUACAUACAUAUAUACACAUGUAUAUUUUGAACGAUCCAUUUUGAAUCGCAAUAACAAAGGACUUUAUUCCCCAUCUUUUAUUCCCUAUCCAUCUUGUGAAUUAACUUGGGUUAUAAGUUUGGUUCUGGACCGUAUCUUUUGGUGUAAUUGGUUGGUGACCACAACCACCCUAAGGCUUAUAUAUAUGUUUACAUUCAAAAUUCAAGACAAUUAUAGGGUGGAUGAUCUGUUGGAGUUAUAUUUUAUAUUCUUGUUGGGGUAGGAACAUACACUUGGUUUAGUAGAUCCUCACGAUACUAGUUGUGUGAGGUUUUCGGUUUGUUUUUAUAAUGAGAUCUUACAAGGUCAGGGUGGGUGUUUUAUAUGGAAAAAUUUGGCAUGUGGGAUUGUCGAGAAAGAUGGCCUUUUUUUAAUUUAAUCUUAGACGGCUGCUUUGGGAGCUAAUUUGAUGUCAGUUUCCUUAUGGCAAAGGUUUAAGCAUUUGGGUAAUCGAUACUAUAUGUGGAGGAAGGGUUGGGAAUCAGUUGACCAUUUGCUUUUGCAUUGGAAGUUUGUCAGAGAACUUUGUUCAAUAUCUUUAUGUUUUUUGGUGUUCCUUGAGUGAAGCCACGAUAGGAUCAAGCAUUGUUAUAGGCCUUGAUGGGAGUAUGGGUUCUGAAGAAUAGUCGAAGGUGCUCAUUGCUUGUGUUGGGAAUUAUGGAGAGAGGAUAUUGUGAAGAGAAGGAGCGUUCAAUUUUUCAUAAUAACUAUUUUUUCCAAGCCUCCUCUUUUGUUUUUUUGGCUCCAUAAGUCUUAUCUGGGCUUGAUAUAUUUUUUUGUCAAUUUUGUAGCAGAGUUAUGCCUGUUAGCUUGGGAUGGCUUUUUGUCGUCAAGGCUAACAAUUUUCUAAAAGAUGCCCUAGUUGGGCACCUUGGCAGAGGUCGCUGCCGAACGAAUUGAUUAGGCUGAAAUCGACUAAAGAAAUGCUUGAGCUUUUUUAUUUUGUUUAUAUAUAUAUUAUUUCUUUUGCUUUUUAUGUGAUGUUUUAAGGUAAAUAAAUAAGAUUAAAUUAAAACUUAAAAACAAGCCAACCAAGUUCUCACCAUCUUCCUCUUUUUCAUAGAGAGAACUAUGAGUCUAAGAGAAAGACAACGCAAAUGAAUUGAGGAAGAGAGGGAUUGAAAGACGAUGCCAAUUGGUUUAAGGAAACAUGCGAUUGGCGUCGGUGGAGAUGGGACAACGAGGAUGCCAAUUGUCCCAGUAAGGGACUCGUGGAGUCACUAGUCGAAGGGAGGUGACUAGGUUUUGCUAUGGGUUAGUGAAAAGUGACAAUUUGGUGCAUCUUUGUCCUUGGCUGCCUGGAGUCAUUGAGUUGAAGGGUAAGGGACUAGGGUUUUCUAUGGAUGUCGGUGUCUACUCUUAUUUCUAUCAUAAUUUCUUUUUUCCUUGACAACUAUUCUUCAUUUCUUUAAACAAUGUGACAGAACACUGUACAUGUGAUAAUAGAUGACCCAAAUGCACACGUGAUGUGAGAAUGGAAAAGGAAAGUGGAUAAAUUUUUGAAAAACGGCAAUAAGUAUGAUUUACAUAAAAAAGAUGUGAAACAUAAAGAUAAAUAAAUAAACUUCCUAGGAAAAUACCUUGGCAAGCCUGUGCUACCUAGCUAGCUAUGAACCACAAACACCUCCCAAAGAUCAAUGAGUUAGUAUCGGGGGCGUCUCGAACAUAGUUUUUACGGCGUAGCCUUGGCGUCCUGGUGAUGAAAAGAAGGCCAUGUCGUGCAUCGACUUGAGGCAGGGCUAUCAAGGCGUGCGCCUUCGCGGCUUUAGCCCAACUUUUUUUUUUUACCCAUAACCGAUGGGUCUUCUACUUACCCAACAACCAUCACGAUGAAGUUUAAAGCCCUAAACUCGACAUCAACUCCUCUCAGUCCUCUGCCUUCACGACAUCGACAUCGCGUCUCGCCGACUCCUCUUCCUCACGACUUCGCGACUCCUUUCCUUGGUUCCUCUUCGACUUUGCCUCCCCAAUUGAGCCUCCCUCAGUCGCACCUGCCCCAAUUGCGAACCUCCCCCAGUCGAGCCUCCCUUAGGUCUGUUUUCUCUCCUCUCUCUCACAUGCGAAAUAUGUUGUUUUGUUGGGUAUCUUCCUUCUCCCUUACUGCUAUGUUGGGUAUUUUGUUUGUGAUAUGUUGGGUUACUUGGGUAUUCUUACUGGUUUAGUCAGUUAGUCUUCUUAUGUAAUAUGUUGGGUAGUUUUAGACUCUGUAUAAGAUUAAAUAAUAUUGUUUUGGAUAUGGGUAUUGUUUUUAACUAUUAAAAUUUGCAAACUUUACGCAAUAUGAACUUUACAUAAUAUGUUGUUUUAGAUAGUGAGUAUUUUUUUGGAUAGUGGGUAGUGUUUAACUACUAAAAUAUAUUGUUUUGGACAGUGGGUACUAAAUAAUUAUUUCUCAAUCUUUUUGAAACUGAGACAUAUAUCUACAUGUGUGUGUUUUUUAACUUAGGUGGUUACAUUUUGGACAUGAGGUUAAGUCCUAUGUGAAUACAUACAUUGAUAAUCAUUAUUGUGGACUAAAAAGAUAUGUAACAGAUGUUUUGGACAGUGGGCGAUGGUUAUUGUUUGUAUAAUUAAUUAAUUAUGGAGUAUGGACCAAAAGUAAUACAUUCAAUGAUUCAAAAGUAAAAACAAAAGUAGGUAAUAUUUUGAUGAAUGGUUUGUUAUUUGGAUCAAUUUUGUCUUAUAUUUUUUAUUUGAUUGUAUUGUGUAGAAAGUAAAUUGGCGGAAAGUUCGGGGGCCGAUAGUUAUGAUUUAACUAAGGACCCUAAAAGAAAAGCUAAAUCGAACGAUCCGGGUUGGAAGUAUGGAUAUUGGCCAGAUAUAAGUAAUAAUAAUAUCGUGCAAUGUAUACUUUGCGGGAAGAAAUGUCAUUCGGGCAUCAAGAGGCUCAAGCAACAUCUAGCUUAAAAUUUUGGAGAUGUAGCGAAGUGCCCUUAAACAUCAACAUUUAUGAGGGAGAUGCAAGCGGCUUUGAAUAGUUAAAAGAGGAACAAGCCAAUUGAGUUAAAAGAGGAACAAGCCAAUUGAGUUAGAUGAUGAUGAUGAUGUAGAAGUGCAAUAAGAUCAUCUGCUCCUCCAAGCAUGACUUCCAAUGCUUCCUCUAACACUAUCCCAAGUUCUGGACCGCUUCCAAAAGGAAAAAGUUGCUUUUCAAUUCCAAAAGUCACAAUCAAAAGCUCCGACAAAGACGGUUGAAGCACUUCUAAGGAAGACUCCUGAAGUUGUAAAUGAGAGGCAUAGCAAGCGUUUGAGCCAAACGAUUAUUGAAAAUUGUUUGAGGACACCGGAGGAAAAGGAGAGAGUUCAUAUGCACAUUGCAACUUUUUCUAUGUGUGGCAUACCAUUCAAUGCUGCAAAUGCAAGGAGCUUCGAGGUAAUGAUCGAGUCCAUAAGGCAAUACAGGCCGAGUUUGAAGCCUCUACGUAUCAAAGUUGAGGGUUCCUUUUCUUGAGAAGGCAAAGAAGCAAACCGAUGAGUUAAAGGUGAAACAUGAAGUUUCUUGGAAGCGAUAUGGUUGCAGACUCAUGUCGGAUCGUCGGAUCGUCGGAUCGUUGGACAUAUUGAAGGGGAAGACACUUGUUGAAUUUUCUUGUUAAUAGUCCGGAGGGGACUUACUUCAUGGGUUCUAUUGAUGCCUCUAGUCAGUCUCAAGAUGUUACAAUGUUGGCAAUUCUCCUUGAUAGUAAAAUUGAGGAAAUUGACCCUGAGUAUGUUGUUCAGGUGGUCACGGACAAUGCCCCUAAUUACAAGGCAGCGAGACAUAUACUAAUGGAGAGGAUAACUACAUUGUUUUGGACACCUUGGUCGUCAUCUUGAUGCGAUGAGGGAAAAACAAAUGGGAGGAAUCUUGUGAGAUUUGGAGUUACUAGAUUUGCUACAACUUUUCUCACCUUGCAAAGUUUGUACAAGCAUAGAGAUGUAUUGAGGCAUUUGUUCAUAAGCGAGGAUUGGACAAAAUCUAAGUUGUUGGCUACUGAAGCGGGGAAGAAAGUAUGUGAUAUUGUAAUUUUAACUACAUUUUGGCAUCAUGUUGAGGAUUGCAUUAGGGCGUCACAACCACUUCUUGUAGCCUUGAGGAUUGUUGAUGGUGAUGGGAAGUGACUUGAUAUAUAUGCAAUACAAUCAAAAGAUCGUUUCAAGGUUCCAAAAGAGGCGUGAACUUGGAAUUUUUUUUGAUCCUUUAGCUAUUAAUUACUUUGAAUGGGGUAAUGAAUGGAUCAAUAAUGAGACUGAUGUUGUUCAUCCUGGGGAGGAUCUUAUAUGGAAUGAUGUGGAUUGAGCAACCGGUGUAUCCAACACGCUUGAGGGUCGCAAUCCUUCAAGGAGGGCUCGUGCUAAUACUAGUGAUAAUGUCAUUACGUACUCUCAACGUGGUGGUGGUUCAACUUCAAGGGAAUCAAGGUUGAUAGAUUCUGACUCUAAUGAUGAAGUUGAUAAAGAAGAGAGAAUUCCAAAUGACGAUAAAGAUGUGGAGGAUGAUUUUGGAAAGACCACCCAUGUCUUUGAAUGAGAUUAGUUCACGUGGAGGAGAUGGAGAUGACUUUGUUCUUGAUGAGUUUGCUUGAACAAUGUUUAGAGAAUAGUGUAGAGAGUCUAGACAUUAUUUUGGCUUGCUAUGUGGUGUUUUAUUAGUUAUUAGACUAGUAAUAUGUGAUGGUUGGUUGCUACUUUAUUUUCUAUGUGGUGUUUGUUGAAUUCUUCAUUUCUUAUCAAGUGUUUUAUUUUUGAAUUGUUAUUACUAAAUAUUUACAUAAUUGUGCUUUUAAUGUUAUUCUAUAGUGUUAUGUUUUGGGUUUUAAUGUAAAUGAAAUUUUAUUGGCAGUAUACUUGUUAAGUAAAAUAAAUAAUAUAUAAAUUGCACAUUGUAAAUGACUUGUCGCCAUACGGACGACAUGGCGGUCGCCUAGGCGUCUUGACAGUCGGCUACCGUCAUGACUCGUCGUGGCGCUGUGACAGCUAUGAUCCCGGACACGAACACAACAUGGACAUGUUGGGACAUGUACCCGAAACAUGUCCCAACAAUUAGUUUUUAAUAUUUAUAUUUAGGACAUGUAAGGACACGAGGGUACAUGUUUGGCAAAUUCGGGACAUGCUUUACCGGUAUAUUAAGAUACAUUUGAGGUCAGAAAUGUAAAAGUAAGGGAUUUCAAUGUAAUCUCUAAUGUUAAUUAGGGUAUCCAAUGAAAGAAGAUAAAAGUGAUGGACUGGAAUAGAAUAAUUUCUUUAAUUAUUAUAAUCGGUAGGAAGAUCUUUUUAUUACACGAAGGAUUUAUUAUUCUCUCAUUCGAAGUUCAAACACAGGUACACCGCAUGAAGAGGAGGUAGAAAAUACAUACAAAAGGGUUUUGAUCCAUUCGACCCUCUUAUUGAUCGUGUCUCAUCGCUGGUCUCUCAACUCUCAUCGUGUCGUAUCCAUGUCUCAAGUCCGUAUUGGUGCCUCAUAGCCGCCUAGGUCUGCCUAGCGGCUUUAGAACAUUACUCGUAGGGUUCGUGUGGCUGUUUUCUUUGUUUUUUGUAUACUCUGCGUGUACGGUGAUGGCAUCCCCUUUGAUUCCCUUUCAUAUACAUGAUUAGUUAUCAUAAAAAUAAAAAUGAUAGCUUUCUCUCCAUUGCAAGUUUUCUACAUCUAGUCAUACAAUGGUAAGAUAUUUAUAAACAUAUAUCAGCAUUAAGAAAUUCUAAGAUUAUGCAAUAUCUAAAUUCGUUGAUUUCCCGCACAAAACAAGUACUGGCUAUCCUCCAUGCACUCAUCCCUUCUCUUAAGCCACAUGUCAAAUAAUCGAAAAAGCUAAAAAUCUGAAUCUAAGAAAAGAUUUUCCUAAAUAAUACCUUAGUAUUUAUGUAUCCUGUCUUCCUUAUCAAAGCAUGACAUAGUUUUCAGUAUAAAAGUUGCUCAAGACCCCUGAAAUUUAUCAAGAAUUUUGCACAAUUUUUCCCAUUUCAAAACUCACCAGCCAAGUUGUUUGUACGUAAGAAAUGUCAAGCCAAGUAGUUGUUUGCAUGUAUGAUGUAUCAAGACAAGUUGUUUGUAUGUAUGAUGUAUCAAGCCAAUACUAGAGACUCUCAAGCUAACUUUGCCAUGCUGAUAUUGUUUGUUUGCAUAUAAGUAUGACACAUGUAUAUGUAUAUUGUGAUGUUGAAUUGUUUGUUUACAUAAAUAGGACACAUGUAUAUGUAUAAUACAUCACUUUUGUUAAAGAAAUUACUAGAGCAACAUAAACAGUGAGUGAGAGAGUGUGUGUGUUCAUGGAUACUAGAGAGGGCACAAUCAGUGUAUUAAUGCUACCAUGGUUAGCCCAUGGUCACAUAAUCUCCCUUUUAGAGCUAGCAGCAGAACUUUCAAAGAGACGGGUCAAUGUCUUUCUGUUCUUCACCUAUCAUCCUUAAUUCUAUCAAGAAAAGAACUUCUACGACAGACUCCAUUUCCAUACACCUAGUAGAACUUCAGCUUCCAUCUUCAUCUGAUCUUCCUCCCCACUACCACACUACAAAUGGCCUCCCGCCCUAUCUCAUGCCUACACUCAAAUAAGCCUUCAAGACGUCGAGAUUUAUUAAUGUACGAUUUCUGUCAGCCAUGGGCUGCAGAGAAUGCUUCAUCUCAGAAUAUUCCAUCCAUUCAUUUCAGAACUUCUGCAGCAGUGACCGCUUGUUUAAGAGUUCAUCUUUUCAAAAGCCCUGGUGAAAAAUUCCCAUUUGCAGAUAUUUAUGAUAAUGGUAACAAUAUGUGUGAACCUUCAGCAGAUCAAGUCAAGGACAGAGACCGUUUUUCUGCAUCUUUGAAACGAUCUUGUAAUAUUGUUUUGAUUAAAAGUUUUAGAGACCUUGAAGGAAAAUAUACUGAUUAUCUUUCCAUAGUAGCUAAGAAAACCAUAAUCCCUGUCGGUCCGCUGCUUCAAGAUCCCAUUAAAGAUCACAAUGAUACACAUACAGGGAAUAUCAUACGUUGGCUUGAGAAAAGAGACAAGUCUUCGGUGGUGUUUGUGACCCAGAUUUUGAGCACUGGUUGUAGCGACAAUAUCUCAAAUCAACAGUGGGGUCUGUUUGGCACCUCCGCAAAAAGAAUGAUUCAUUGGGAUCAACAUGAGAGUCCAACUACAUUGAUAUGGGUGCAGCGAUAUUGGAUAAAUACAAAGAGGAUAGUGAAGGUGAGAAGCCGCUCGGAGACUAUUCUGUGCUGUGAAUAAUCCAGAAUUGGUUCCACCACGGCCGCCAUUGCGACCACCUCCACGACACAACAACGCACUUUCAAUCAGUAUCGAAAGGAGGUGACCAAGCCUUCUUCUAGAACUGCUAGGAAGAACACAUUAGAUGGAUGGAUAAAGCUUGACAUGGAUGGCUCCUCGGUUGAGAGCUCCGUGACUGGUUCAAGGAGAACGACCUUUGAAGAUGUCGAUUCGCGAGGGUUGUCCCAAGAAGCGGAAGCGUCAGCUAAGUGCAGACAUGGGGCGUGAGGAGUCCUUGGACUUUCUCGUGGAAAGAGGAGCAUCAAAAUUACUGAGUUUUAUGAAGAACACUAACAAAGCUUUAUCAAUAAAGCGAGUUCUUUCAUCAAUAAAGAAAGGAUUGGAGAUUUGUUUCGUAAAAGCACCUUCUUCCUAUCCAUGUUUCUAUCAUUACUCGCAGAGACGACCCUCAAUGGACGCUCUACUCCAACAACCAUAACGGUCGAAUUGGGCAGGCCCCUGCCCUGGAACUCAGAGUCAUUGUGGAUGGAGUUCUGUUAUGGAGAGCAUGAAGUUUGGUGUGCCAAUUAUUGCCAUGGCCAUUCAUUUUGAUCAGCCUCUCAAUGCUCGGCUGGUGGUGGUCCUGGUGGAGGUUGGUGUGGGCUUGGAGGUUGUGAGAGGCGACAAAUGGGAGGUUUAACAGAAAAGAGAUUGCGGGGGUGAUAAGAAAGGUUGUGGUGGAAAAAAUUGGGGAGGUUGUGAGGAUGAAAACAAGGGAAAUGAGUGAGAGAAUGAGAGAGAAAGGAGAGAGAUAGGUAGGGUGGUGGAGGAGCUAAUACAGAUUUGCAGGAAGAAAUAAUAGUUUCUUUUCUAUGAUUAUGUAACAUGUUUCUUAAGUUAUAUUUGGAAAAAAAAAUGUAAUACUUUUUGACACACACAUAUAUACAUACAUAUAUAUUAUCAUAUAUACUUGCAAGUUAUAUUGACACUUGAAAGGCUACAAGGCCAUAUAAUUAUUUUUUGAAUUUCAAAGUAAUAAAUUGUUGUUGAUCCAUGAGAAAUCUGUGUAGAGAAGUGCGUAAACAUCCUUAAUUAAUUUAUAUGGCCUUGUUGGCUGCCCCUGGGUAAUGUUUGUUGCCAUGAGCUUAAGUCUAAUAACAAAUUUAACAAUUCGAAGACAACAAAACAGCUCCGUUGAUUAUGUUAGGGAAAAGUUUGGAGAAAUGCCAUAGUUCUGUGAGCGUAUGAUUGUUAAAUGAUAAGUUGUAAAUAUUUGAAGCAUGCAUAUUUCUUCUGAGCAUAGGCGGAUCCAGCAAGGGGCAGGGUGGGGGGGGCAAGUGCCCAGCGUUGCCUUUUGAUAUUUUUUUACAAGUAUAGUGUUAAUAUGGUAAAGUGAUGCUCUCCUUAAGAAAAAAAUAUUAGGUUACUUAUAAACAAUUAGAUAUAUCUAAUAUACGUUACGUUAAAAAAAGGAUAUUUCUAUUUGGAUUUUUCCUAAUUUACAGGGUUAAGGUUAUAUCAUUAAACUUACCUCUAUUUUUUUAUUAAUUAUCUAUGAGUAGUUAAUUGUUUAGUUUUGAUUCUUAUUUGUUUUUAUUCCUUCAUACUAAUUAGCACAUCCGUACAUGCUUCUUAAUUUUCCAGUAUAUAUUGAAGUUGUCGGUAUGUGUAUCAUUUGAUGUUGUAUUAAAAUCAAUAAAGACAUCCGUACAUGCUUCUUAAUUAUAAGAGUGCCCUGCAUCCGCCCCUGCUUCUGUGUACAUAUAUGUACACAAGUAGUUUAGGUCUUUAUAAACUGAUCCAAUAUUUUGCUCCUAUAAGAUUAAGCUCUCCAUUUUCUAUUUUGAAUUUCAUUCUUUUUAUGAUUUAUGUCUGCCUAUUAGAACAACUUUUCGUGGAAACUUUAGUACUCCCUCCGUUCCAAAAUACUCCCUCCAUUCCAUAAUAUAAUAUAAUAUAAUAUAAUAUAAUAUAAUAUAAGACAUUUUUAAAUUCAAAAUUGACAUGAGUUUCUUUAAUUUUAUUCAAUAUAGUGAUGAAUAUUGUGAAGUAUUAACAAAUACGAAUCAUUGUAAAAAAUUUUGUUCCAUAAUUUCAAUGAAUCAUCUCAAUUUUUGAGUUUGAAAAUGUUUUAAAUUAAUUUUUAAAAGUCAAUAAUGAUCUUAUAAUUUGGAACAUAGGAAGUAUAAGGUAAAUAUUGACUUUUUAAAAGUUAAUGUGGAACAUUUUCAAAUCAUUAUAAUUACGAUUACCAUAAACUAUCUAAAUAAAAUGUACUACUAAUUAUUAGUAUAUUAUUUUCAAAACUUCAUGAAAAUGUCUUAAAUUGAAUUUUAAAAAAUCGAGCUUAUGUUCUGGAACGGAGGGAGUAUUAUAUUAAUGAUCAAAAUCUCGUUGUAGAGUAUGUGAGUGAUGAUUUCAUUUGACAUUAGAGAUUCAAAAAUCGUUUCUUUUAUUAGUAUGUAAAUUCCAUGUGCAAAAUCUACAGAAAACGGGGUAUCAAUUGUUGGAUUCCCUACAAGAAGCAACAUUUACAGGUGGACAGGGUUGAAAGAAUAAGAACAUCGACAUGAAGCAACAUUUCCAGGUAGACAGGAUUGAAGAAUGAGAGACGAAGUUUGCUCACAAUAGAUUUGUUGUGCCAAUAGCUUGCAUACAACUUUUCGCGUGUAUGUGCGCAUGAUUUCAAUUUUGUAAAUAAUGUUAUUUAAAUUCAGUGUUGAAAUAGUUUGGUGCUCAGGGUGCUUGUUAUGAUUCUUUUACUACGUUUUUCAUUUGAUUUCAAAUUUAUGAGACUUUUAGGACCUUGAGUGGCCCUAACUGAUUUGAUAGGUAAAUUUAGAAAGAAAAAUAUUUCAAUUGCAGAACUUGAGGGAAGAAGGGGGGCAGAAAAAAGGAAGAAAGGAGGUGAUGAAGGGGUUUACGGGAGUAGCAUCACAAAAGUGUGCUCUCAGUUUUUAUUUCAAUACUCAACAUUAUAAAUUGGUUACAUCAUAGGAAAUAUAUAGAGCCUUAGCGGCUUUCAAUAGCAGUUAUCUAACAUGAGCCUAAAGAAGUAAAAUGCACUUAAUGUAGUAACUGACAUUGCUUCCCCCUUCUUUUAGUUCCAUGUCCUCAUGGAUGGAGGUGUUCCCUGCUCCCUCAUGCAUCCCAGAAAGAUCAUCUGCUAUAGUGUUUCUUUUCCAUUUUUGUAUGUGAUGGUGUAGUUGAACCCUAGUAGUUUGCUCAGCCACUUCUGUUGUAAGAGAGGUUAAACAUCUGCUGCUGUAGGAAGAACUUUAAAGUCUGAUGGUCUGUUUUUAUGAGGAAAUGUAUAUUCAUCAAAUAAGCUGACCAUCUCUGAACUGCAGUAACAAUGGCCAUAAGUUCUUUCU
rnacentral:lncRNA from 1 species